UACGUAGGGGGCUAGCGUUGUCCGGAUUUAUUGGGCGUAAAGAGCGUGUAGGCGGCCAGGUAGGUCUGGUGUGAAAACUCGAGGCUUAACCUCGAGAUGUCAUCGGAAACCAUCUGGCUAGAGUCCGGAAGAGGAGAGUGGAAUUCCCUGGUGUAGCGGUGAAAUGCGCAGAUAUCAGGAAGAACACCGAUGGCGAAAGCAGCUCUCUGGGACGGUACUGACGCUGAGACGCGAAAGCGUGGGGAGCGAACAGG
rnacentral:rRNA from 1 species